UACGGAGGGUGCAAGCGUUAUCCGGAUUCACUGGGUUUAAAGGGUGCGUAGGCGGAUUGGUAAGUCCGUGGUGAAAUCUCUAAGCUUAACUUGGAAACUGCCAUGGAUACUAUUAGUCUUGAAUAUUGUGGAGGUUAGCGGAAUAUGUCAUGUAGCGGUGAAAUGCAUAGAUAUGACAUAGAACACCAAUUGCGAAGGCAGCUGGCUACGCAUAUAUUGACACUGAGGCUCGAAAGCGUGGGGAUCAAACAGG
rnacentral:rRNA from 1 species